ACUCCUACGGGAGGCAGCAGUGGGGAAUAUUGCACAAUGGGCGCAAGCCUGAUGCAGCCAUGCCGCGUGUGUGAAGAAGGCCUUCGGGUUGUAAAGCACUUUCAGUCGUGAGGAAGGUAGUGUAGUUAAUAGCUGCAUUAUUUGUACGUUAGCGACAGAAGAAGCACCGGCUAACUCCGUGCCAGCAGCCGCGGUAAUACGGAGGGUGCGAGCGUUAAUCGGAAUUACUGGGCGUAAAGCGCAUGCAGGUGGUUUGUUAAGUCAGAUGUGAAAGCCCGGGGCUCAACCGUCGGAAUAGCAUUUGAAACUGGCAGACUAGAGUACUGUAGAGGGGGUAGAAUUUCAGGUGUAGCGGUGAAAUGCGUAGAGAUCUGAAGGAUACCGGUGGCGAAGGCGGCCCCUGGACAGAUACUGACACUCAGAUGCGAAAGCGUGGGAGCAAACAGGAUUAGAUACCCCUGGUAGACUGUCA
rnacentral:rRNA from 1 species